GAUGGAGUGAUGCUUCUCGAC
rnacentral:siRNA from 1 species